GAAAUUUAACAUUUUUUUAGUUGUUUUAGAAAAGAAAAAAAAAAGAGAAUAAGAAGAAACCCUAUGCAGCGUUAGUGAUGAGGAAACGAACAAACUUCUCAGAUUGUAAUUAUUUGGAAGUCCAAUGAAAGGGGAAGACUCAAGUUUCGGAGUGAUUGUUCAACUAUUUCAGACAAGUGGAUUUCUAAACUCCUGUCAAGUGUACGAAAUGUGUGUAUUUCCUUGUAGUAUAUGUUUGGGAGUAAUGAGAUUUAGAGAUGGGUGGACUUGUCCACAUUGAUUAAUUCUAAUGAUGAAAAAGUGGUAGCAAAAGGCAAUGUGGUUAAUUGUUUAUUUGUGAAGUGUUGAGAAAGGUUUGAAGACUUGUAGAAUCAUUGUUAAUGUGAUAUCAUGUUUGAGUUGCUGUGAAAUGUGCAAUUUUAUAAAAAAUGGUCAUUUUCUCAUUA